rnacentral:lncRNA from 1 species
GAAUUUAAAGUGGCUCCAAUGGCAAGGAUGUGCCAGAGAUUUUAAAGCUACUCAUUUCCAUGUUGAGAAAUUAGUCAUUCUUGAUCUUUCAUGGAGCAAAGUCACUGAAGACUGGGAAGGUUGGAGAGAAAUCAAGUAGAUUAAGCUUUGUUUACUUUGGGAAAACUGUUUUCCAGAUGAGAAAGAUUUCAUUAGAAAGCUUUUCAUGAAGACUGAUUUAGGAUAUGACACUUUCCAGCGUUUGGCAUGUACGGAACUGAAUAUUAUUCUUGAAAUACUUAAGGAAAUAAUCUGUCGCCUGCCAACAACAGUUGAAGGGUGUUUGGACGAUGGUGGUAGUGGAAUCUCAGGUUGAGUUAGUUUAGGGAAAUGAAUUUCUGGUUGUUAAAAGGGUAGGCCAUUCUUCAAAAUCUAAAUGAGCAUCUUUUCUUUACGAUGAAAACACUUUCCCAUUGCUUCUUAAGCCAUGCCAUGAUUGGAAGAUUAGUUUUCAAGAAACAUUUUUUCUACAAAACAAACAAAGACUUUAUUUGCUCUGGAGAUUUGUUCAGUGUAUAAAUUAAUCUUUCUGUGAUAUUUUUGCAGAUGCCACGUUUGAAAGUCUUGAAUCUUACAGGUUGUGCUGACCUAUUGAUAAGCCCCAACUUGUCCUCUUUCCCAGACUUGGAGAUAUUGAUUCUAGAACAAUGUUCUCAACUAAUGAAGUUAGAUCC